AUUGAACGCUGGCGGCGUGCUUUACACAUGCAAGUCGAACGGCAGCAUGGGAGCUUGCUCCUGAUGGCGAGUGGCGGACGGGUGAGUAAAACAUCGGAACGUGCCUUAUAGUGGGGGAUAACGAGUUGAAAGAUUUGUCUAAUACCGCAUGAAUGUCUGAGGAUAAAAGACUGGGGAGUCAGAAAUGACCUGGCGCUAUGAGAGCGGCCGAUGGCCGAUUAGCUAGUUGGUGAGGUAAAAGACUUACCAAGGCGAUGAUCGGUAGCUGUUCUGAGAGGAAGAUCAGCCACACUGGGACUGAGACACGGCCCAGACUCCUACGGGAGGCAGCAGUGGGGAAUUUUGGACAAUGGGGGGGAACCCGUGAUCCAGCAACGCCGCGUGAAUGAAGAAGGCCUUAGGGUUGUAAAGUUCUUUUGUCUGGGAGCAAAGGUUGUAUGUUAAUAGUAUACAAAGAUGAGAGUACCAGAAGAAUAAGCACCGGCUAACUACG
rnacentral:rRNA from 1 species